GAGCCAGCUGUAUUCAUUUCGGUUUGCAAUCCUAGAUUUACUUAAAAUGAACCGGUUCUUGGUUUGGUUAAUUCUGUAAUGGUUAAUAACAACUUUUUCAAACCAAACUUGAAAUCACAUCAUUUAUGGUUUUAGAAUUGGAAAACUCCAAGUUUGUGUUUGGUUCCCACUCCAAGUUGGAACCGAUCAGAUCUGUUUAUGAGUCAUAACUGAAUUUGGUCUGGUUUGUGUCCUGUUAUAAUCUUGUGAUUUUAAUUAAUCCUCACUAUGUUAGUGAUUAGUAUUUUCCUUUUGAUCUCAACUCGCAGAUCCGGUGGGGUUUGCCACCCCUAGCCAAUUUCUUUCAACCAGUGCAUAUCAUGAAUGCAUCUUAAGACAGAUUAGACUAUUGAAGGCGAGAUACCACAACGAACUACUGAAAAUGCACUACCAUGUCAGGGUGUUGCGCAUUCGGGUCCAACUCAAUCAUACCAUAUUCCAUACCAUUUAUCAACACAUAAUUCCUUCUUUUAUUAAGGUGUAAUUAUCCUUUGCAGGCAACAAAUAUGUUGGAAUAUUAAACUUAAUUUAGUUAUUUUAUUAUGUAUUAAGUGUAAUUAGGAUAGUUAAAGUUAUUAUUAUGUAUGUAUGAAACGAUAUAGAUGAACGGUUGUGUCGGUUGGUUGAAAAUGUUUCACUUGACGGUUAUUCCCGCCAAAAAACCAAACCUUCACAUAACCGUUUUAAGUCUGAUGUAUAAAUACACAUUGCCGGCAAUCUUUGCCGGGUAACAAGAAGAUAUUCAUAAUAUCAUUCCAAUUCUGUUUUGUCUAUUUCUCUGUACAACACACACACAAACAGGAAUAUGACAACGAUGACGAUAACGGCUUCCGCUAACAUAGAUGAUGAUGUUUCGGAUAUGAUGAUGACGACUUCCGCUGUCCGGAUGUCCAACAUAGUGGUAUCAGAGCCACGGUGGGAAAUCGAUGAAGAUCGAUCGAUGGUAUAUGAUUCCGGGCACAUCCGGAUGAAGAACAAAAACAGGGGAUAUGGAGACGGACAAGAAUCCAAUCCCGAUCGCACGAUUUCGCGAUCACGAAUGUUCGCAAGAAUGAAGCGAAAUAUCCUAAUGAAAUUAGAAAUCGAAAUCGAGUUACUGGAACUAGAUACGGAAGAAAGACGGGAAGAUCACGGUAACGAAGGUAUGAAACAACAGGAGAUGUUUAAUGUUCAUAAGAACAGAGAAAAGGAACGAGAACCGGAAUGGUUGGAAAUCGCAGAAUUACACGUUCCCGGGAAGAGACGGAUGAUAAAGAGGAACGAACGACGAAGGAAGGAUCUUACGAAGAAGCGAUGUUACUAUUGUCAUGAUAUGGGACACUUAAUUGCCUUCUGCAAAUUAAAAGAACAUGACAAGGCAACCGGAAUUCAGCGAACGAGGGCAGAGUACGACGUCACCGGCACAGAACAUGGAUUAUGGGCAGAUAUAUGGAAUGAAUGUUGUCACCGGAUUAAUAAGAGUAGAGGAGU
rnacentral:lncRNA from 1 species